rnacentral:siRNA from 1 species
CACCGCCGACCGACCUUG